rnacentral:rRNA from 1 species
CCCUUAGAUGUUCUGGGCCGCACGCGCGCUACACUGACGAUGGCAACGAGUUUUUCCUUCGCCGAAAGGUGUGGGUAAUCUUUUGAAACAUCGUCGUGCUGGGGAUAGAUCAUUGCAAUUUUUGAUCUUGAACGAGGAAUUCCUAGUAAGCGCGAGUCAUCAGCUCGCGUUGAUUACGUCCCUGCCCUUUGUACACACCGCCCGUCGCUACUACCGAUUGAAUGGUUUAGUGAGGACUCCUGAUUGGCGCCGCCGCCCCGGCAACGGAGUAGCGGACUGCCGAAAAGUUGUUCAAACUUGAUCAUUUAGAGGAAGUAAAAGUCGUAACA